rnacentral:rRNA from 1 species
UACGUAGGGUGCGAGCGUUUGUCCGGAUUUAUUGGGCGUAAAGAGCUCGUAGGCGGCUCGUCGCGUCGACCGUGAAAACCCCGCGGCUUAACUGCGGGCUUGCGGUUGAUACGGGCGGGCUAGAGUUCGGUAGGGGAGACUGGAAUUCCUGGUGUAGCGGUGAAAUGCGCAGAUAUCAGGAAGAACACCCCAUGGCGAAGGCAGCUCUCUGGGGCCGGGUACUGACGCUGAGACGCGAAAAGCGUGGGGGAGCGAACGGGGG